rnacentral:rRNA from 1 species
GUGGGGAAUAUUGGACAAUGGGCGAAAGCCUGAUCCAGCCAUGCCGCGUGUGUGAAGAAGGUCUUCGGAUUGUAAAGCACUUUAAGUUGGGAGGAAGGGCAGUAAGUUAAUACCUUGCUGUUUUGACGUUACCGACAGAAUAAGCACCGGCUAACUUCGUGCCAGCAGCCGCGGUAAUACGAAGGGUGCAAGCGUUAAUCGGAAUUACUGGGCGUAAAGCGUGCGCAGGUGGUUUUGUAAGUUGGAGGUGAAAUCCCCGGGCUCAACCUGGGAACUGCCUCCAAAACUGCAUGACUAUAGUACGGUAGAGGGUAGUGGAAUUUCCUGUGUAGCGGUGAAAUGCGUAGAUAUAGGAAGGAACACCAGUGGCGAAGGCGACUACCUGGACUGAUACUGACACUGAGGUGCGAAAGCGUGGGGAGCAAACAGGAUUAGAAACCCUAGUAGUCC